GCCGAGGUAACUCAGCUGGUAGAGUACGUCCAUGGUAAGGAUGAAGUCGGCGGUUCAAAUCCGCUCCUCGGCU
rnacentral:tRNA from 1 species